CCUGAGUGUCGUUCAGCCAAAGCACAACAUAAUUCUUUCUUUUUAAAUCCCAGGAGAAGGACUUCAGAGGAAGGCAAUCUCUCCUCAGCCUGCAAUUAGAGGAAGGAUCAAAGGUGCGGGCUUUCCUUUAUCAGAUGCUCAGGAAGGAACUGAUCCGUCCGGCCCUCUCAGUGGCUCUUGGCUCGACUUCUGCUUGGGAAGCGCUGAUGGUCUUUCUUCCUGUCUUCUAUGAUCUGACACAGCCGGCACCGGAUUGUGAAGAGCACUCCCGAGAUGUCGCGGAGCAAGGCCUCGUCUAACAGGACAUCCAGGACUCAAAGAUGUACCCAUACAGAAACGACAUCCCACAACCCUCCUUGUUAUGCCAAAGUAGCAGACUGGCCGUUGGAACUAGAAUCUCGUUCAAGCACAAAAUGACAGUAAAGGACUGGAUCCCCACAGCAGCCAGACAGCUUGGAAGGAUUUGUGCAGAUAGUGCAAAGCACCAUCACUUCACACACACACACACAGUUUAAAAAGGAAAAAGCAGGCGGGAACAAAGGUGGAAGGGGUACUGAUGAGGUUGUGCUGCUGCUGAGCGGCCCUCAGUCUGUUCCUCCAUCCCUCAUGUGAAAUGCAGAAAGCCCUCCCGCCGUCCCUCAGGUGCGGAGCUGGCCACACGCUGCUUCAGCCGCCUGCAGGACAUCCGCCCCGUUUCCCCUAACUUCCCUUGACUCACCAUGGCUUGUUCAAUCUUGUUGUCUAUGGCAAUCAUGCUGCUGCUGGUUCCACUGCAGAAAAGAGAGGGACAGGCAGGUUAAUAAGAGGCAAAAACCAGACCUUCCAUUUCUAGGGCCAAACUCUUGACCACUGACCCAACCGGCCCCAGCUGCUUUCAUACGCUUCCUCUGCAAACUCCAGUGUCAACCUCUGAGCACCAAAAAUGCAUAGCUUCAAUCGGCAUCUCUCCCCCAUUGCCCACAAACAACUCCCAAAUCUUUCCACAAAGUCUUGUGGAGCUCACACAAACACCAGCAAAUACACACGCUGGCAGCCUAAAGGCAUCCUUGUAGCAAGUUGCAACAAGAGUGACCUUAGACACAUGCAGAGUGCUGCCCAUCCACUCACCCCUGAAUAACACUUUGACCUCAGCAGGGAAAGGCAUCCACCCCAAAAGAUGUGGACUUCAAGCAGCUUUGGAGCAGCUCACGUUCCAGGCAUCAGGCUUUGCGCUAACACAGAACGACCCAAAUCACAGCCUCUGGCAUCCAGGGAGUCCAUGAGCAACUGGGAUCUCCCAUCUCCUGAUGCUUUCCAAACUCCCGCCCAGGGAUUCGGAAGUCGCUCACCAUUAGCCAAGAGAGCUGCCGCCAUCCAAAGGAAAUUAUAAACACCGGCAGCAAGGACCAUGUCACAUGCGCUUCUUGGGACCCAGCUGUGUUUAUUUAUUUAUGGCAUGUUCCAUGAGCCGUUCUCCUGUCCCCCAAAAUAAAGGCCAGCGUGUGCCUACGAAAAGGCUCCCCGGAUGCUGAGACCCGAGAGUAGCCCAGCUGGACAGCAACCCAAACCCACCUGAGGCAGCCAGGGGCUUUGGGACAGGCUCUCCAACCCAAUGAGUCCAACUACACCUCCCAGAAUCCCAUAACUAACACAUUGGGCCGGGCAAGGAAGCACAGCAGUCUUCUUCUUCAAUACAGCAUUUGCUAU